rnacentral:rRNA from 1 species
AACAGAGGAUGCAAGCGUUAUCCGGAAUGAUUGGGCGUAAAGCGUCUGUAGGUGGCUUUUUAAGUCCGCCGUCAAAUCCCAGGCUCAACCCUGGACAGGCGGUGGAAACUACCAAGCUGGAGUACGGUAGGGGCAGAGGGAAUUUCCGGGUGGAGCGGUGAAAGUGACGUGAGAUAGUCAAAGAGGAACACCUGAGGUGAAGACGGGUUGCUGGGCUGACACGUGACGCUGGAGGCGCGAAAGCUAGGGGAGCGAAUGGG